rnacentral:rRNA from 1 species
AGCCUGAACGCUGGCGGCGUGGCUAAGACAUGCAAGUCGCACGGAGGUAGCAAUACCUUAGUGGCGAACGGGUGAGUAAUGUAUCGCUAACGUACCCUUAAGUCCGGGAUAGCCAGGGGAAACUCUGGGUAAUACCGGGUGACAUUCUCUUUUCGCAUGAUGAGAGACUCAAAGGAGCAAUCCGCUGAAGGAGCGGGCGAUAUCGUAUCAGCUAGUUGGUGAGGUAACGGCUCACCAAGGCGACGACGCGUAGCCGGACUGAGAGGUCGGUCGGCCACAUUGGGACUGAGACACUGCCCAGACUCCUACGGGGGCUGCAGUAACGAAUCUUCCGCAAUGCACGCAAGUGUGACGGAGCGACGCCGCGUGUGGGACGAAGUCCUUCGGGAUGUAAACCACUGUCAGGGGUUACCAAGUUCUGAGGAGCCCCAGAGGAAGGCACGGCUAACUCUGUGCCAGCAGCCGCGGUAA